rnacentral:ncRNA from 1 species
CUCUAAUAUUAUUCGAGAUUAUGUAUUUUAAGGAAUACAUACAGUGAAAUAUUAGAUAUUAAAGGGGUUUAUUCCAUCCUUAGGUGGUAAAAAUGAAACAGAGAUAAGAUAUUAGUAGAUUAGUCGAAAAUAUAG